rnacentral:rRNA from 1 species
AUUGAACGCUGGCGGCAGGCCUAACACAUGCAAGUCGAAUGGUAACAGGAAACAGCUUGCUGUUUCGCUGACGAGUGGCGGACGGGUGAGUAAUGUCUGGGAAACUGCCUGAUGGAGGGGGAUAACUACUGGAAACGGUAGCUAAUACCGCAUAACGUCGCAAGACCAAAGAGGGGGACCUUCGGGCCUCUUGCCAUCAGAUGUGCCCAGAUGGGAUUAGCUAGUAGGUGGGGUAACGGCUCACCUAGGCGACGAUCCCUAGCUGGUCUGAGAGGAUGACCAGCCACACUGGAACUGAGACACGGUCCAGACUCCUACGGGAGGCAGCAGUGGGGAAUAUUGCACAAUGGGCGCAAGCCUGAUGCAGCCAUGCCGCGUGUAUGAAGAAGGCCUUCGGGUUGUAAAGUACUUUCAGCGGGGAGGAAGGGAGUAAAGUUAAUACCUUUGCUCAUUGACGUUACCCGCAGAAGAAGAACCGGCUAACUCCGUG